ACAUUCCCUCCCCUCCCCUUUCGCGUCGUCGCCGCCGCCUUUCCCUGCUCUCCAGUCUCCGCCACCACCACGCCCCUUGCUUCCCUUUCGCUUUUAUCCUCCUCUCGAUCCGGCGCUGGCACACACGGUGGUUAUGGAUGGGCCGUUGGUUGCCUUCAUGGGAGAGUGCGGCCUUUGAGGUCUUCAGCGUGGGUGUGGAGGAGCGGGAAGAGGUGAGGAGGAUGACAACGUGGGAAAAAAGCAGCCAGAUCAAAGCUCCCGUCGCCGCUCACGUUGCCAAGGAGUGGAGGGCCGCAGUUGGCCGCAUCACAGACAAGCGAGGACAAGGACAACGCCUGGAUUCGGCGAUGGCAUCAUCCAUCAUGAGAGGCCUGGGCCUCCUCCACGGACAAGGCGGCGGCGGACAACGCCUGGAUUCGGCGAUGGCAUCAUCCAUCAUGAGAGGCCUGGGCUUCCUCCACGGCCAAGGCGGCGGCGAUCUGAGCACCAGUUCAAGUUUUUUCUUUGUAGUACUCUGUCGGCUGUGGCUGGAACACCUGACAUCACUGGCAUCAAAACGCCAUUGCCAAAUGCCUCUGAAAUUAAUUAUAAGCAAGAGUGGUACGGCUUGCACAAUGUGGCAUUUUAGCCGAUAAAAGUCAUUCGUGUUUUAGACACAAAAGAAAAAGAUUGAGGCUGAAGCACCAACCACAAGCGGUGCCACAAAAACAUGGACAGGGGAACACUCGAGCGCAUGCCGCGCCCAACUAGAGCAGAGCGGCAAAAGAGACAAACAAACUUGAGGGCAAAAUCCAUUAACUACUAUAUAUACCGGAAUCAUCACAAACGAAGAAUGAGGAGAAGCUAAACUUUCAGUGAAUGCGUGUUAACACUUUCAGUUUUCUGAAGAAAAGCUUCAGGCUUCUGCAGUUUUCAUUCUUCACGGCGCAGAGGUUACAGAGGUCAGAUGAUGUGUGCAAGGAAGGAAAGAUGCAGACAAGCAACGCCGAAGACGUCUUCAAAGCGCUUGAUGAGAUUGAGUUCCCAGAGUUGGUAGAGCCCCUGAGGACUGCAUUGGAUGAAGCAAAGGCAGUCUGGAGCAAAACAGAGGAAACUAGAUACAGAGCCAAUGCUGUAGAGCAAAAUGAUCGAGCAAACGAAGCCAACGCGGAUGACGAUUAACUGCUCUAACCUUGUGGAAUGACACAAUCAAUCCAACUGUUACCUUUGGGGUGCUUUUUGGAUGGACUAAUCUGAAGAUGUUGGCUAGCUUGCACCGCCAUCAUAUAAUCUAGAAGCAAGGGCAAGGAUUAUAGGGAAAAUAAAGGUACAAUGCUCCCAGUAUAUUUUACUUUUUGGCAAAGUUUUGGUGCUUGCGCAAGAAAGUAACACCAUCAUUAUAGGCUUAUUUUAUUUUAUCUUAGUUCAUGCACUAAUGCAUAAAUCUUUUGGUAUUGCCCUUAUUAUUUAGUCUAGAGCUAUGCAAUGACAACCAUGGCUUUAGUGUUCAGGUGAGUUCCAUUUAUAGAGUGAAGAACCCUUGGCAUCUUAUCUAAAUUCUUUGAUCCUAGAUAUUGUGUAUACCCAGUUAAGUACCUUAUACCAGUACCUUAAUUAGCCUCUUCUGACUAUUGAUUGUUUGAACUGUUGUAGUAGGACUCAGACUUUCAAUGUUAUUAGGCUUGUGGACAUGUUUUUAUUUUAGAUUGUACAGUAUUGGGUUCUUUUGGCUUCUGGUUGCUGCUGCACAAAAAGUACACUAAACUCAGAUGAUGCAUGAAAAAAACUGCAGACCUAACAUAGUUUUUGUAUUCUGAUUUUUUUGUGAUGUCCUUAUGUUAAAAUGCUUAUUUGUUCUCCAAGUAGGCCAACGACGGCUGCUAGCAAUGAUACAUACAUAUCAACAAUUCCAAGGAAGUGCAUAUGUCAGGAUGCAUAGCAUAAUAUAUAUGUUCAUUGGAAAAUACUCUUCAGCAUCUGAAACAUCUAAAGGCGAUCACUCAACUACGUAUUAUAUACAAUAUACCCCGCUCGAUGGUUGGAGCAGUCCCAGCCACUAAUUAGUACUCCAACGUUGCAUCACUCAUCUAAGUAUCAACACUACUCUUGAGACUUGCCUAUUAACAUAGUAGUGCUAGGUCCUCGUUGUUCGUUCUUACUCUCUGUUUUACGAGUCUUUGGUUUCUCUUUAUUCACAUUUCGUUUUCUAUUUUCAUUAUCACUCUGUAUUAAUUCGGUAUCUUGGUUUAUCUUUAUUUAGUCUCCACCCUCUUUCUCCCAUACUCCCUCUGUACGAAAAAGCUUGUCCCUCAAAUGAAUGUAUCUAGCAUCAAAUUAGUGCUAGAUACAUCCAUUUGAGAGACAAGCUUGAGACAAACUUUUUCGAACGGAGGGAGUACCUCUUUUUUCAUUUGUAUGUCUAAGGUAAGAAUGAGAGGCUAGAUAAACAAACAGGAAAAUGCUCACUUCAUUCAGGGGAUGCAUUUCGUCAUUGUCCAUCAACAAGUUCAACUCUGACGUUGGUUCACCGAUGUGGGCCGAUGCACCACAUCAGCAACGUCAAUGACGAAACCAUGAGGAUGUAAUCAAUAAUGUUGCUUCUGAAAAUGAAGAUGUACUUUGCCAUGCCACUACCCUCGGCAAAAUAGUAGAUCAUGGUGCCCCUUGUGCUACAGUGGAAUUGAAUCACAACAAUUCUACGGAUUCAUCAAACACCGAAGGAGGUUAGUUUUUACCUGAGCAGCAACGGCGACCGCCGUGGGUUUGCUGGAGCCUCCCUUGCCGUGGAAAGUAACUAGCUUCAGGGAGUGUCAGGCUGCCACACAGCCAGAACAAAUGCCACCUUCGGCAGGGAGCGACAACAACAACUAUGAGGAUUUGGCUCGCCGAUACGAGUGGCAGCGGCGCCAUCUGCCGAUUCCGCAGCUUCAAGCUAUAGUGGGAGCUGCCGAACCGCCGAGAUGCAGUUGGAGCUGCCGGACCACCAGAUGCAGUUGGAGCUGCUGCGCCUCCGAGCUGCCGAACCACCGAGAUGCAGUUGGAGCCGCAGCGCCUCUAAGCUGCAGCCGGAGCCACUCCCCCGCCAAGCUGCAGCAUGAUCCGCCGCGAAGAAGGAGCCCAGCGUGAGCCGCCUCUAGCAGGUGCUUUCUCGAGUACAGUGGGGAGAGGAAGAGGAUGAACUGGUCAAUGGAAAAGGACAACAAUCCACCACAUGGUUAUCUCUGGCGUUAUAUGUCAUAUGUGCAACCCGUGUAUAUAGGUGUCCAGACUCCAGAGUGUGUGGCUCUUGUCACAAUGGCACGGUUGUAAUAUUAUCUUUGAUGCUAACUUGUACUUUAUGUAAUUGGUAUAA